GUGUCAGCCGCCGCGGUAAUACGGAGGGGGCUAGCGUUAUUCGGAAUUAUUGGGCGUAAAGGGCGCGUAGGCGGCUCGACGUGUCCAAGGUGAAAUCCCUCGGCUCAACUGAGGAACUGCCUUGGAAACUGUCGAGCUUGAGGCCGGGAGGGGGUAGCGGAAUUCCCAGUGUAGCGGUGAAAUGCGUAGAUAUUGGGAGGAACACCAGUGGCGAAGGCGGCUACCUGGACCGGUUCUGACGCUGAUGCGCGAAAGCGUGGGUAGCAAACAGGAUUAGAAACCCCCGUAGUCC
rnacentral:rRNA from 1 species